rnacentral:lncRNA from 1 species
UUAGAAAAAACAUGUGUAGUUUAUAAAUUUGUAUAGAUAAAUAGGUAUUAAAUAAAUUAGCGGCUAUAUUUGUUUCUAAUGUUUGAAUCUGUAACAUAAACUCAUCCCUAAGAUAAGAUCUAAUGAUUAUUAUAUUCAAGAUAAAAAUACAAAAAUACACUUGUACCCUAAAAAACACAACCAAAAAAACACAAAUUUCCAAACACAAAAGUACACUAAUUUUCCUACGCUGUACUAUUGUAGUAACAUUUUGUCUUCCUCAACAUUAACGUAAAAUGAAAUAGUUUAACAAAAGAUAGAUUGUCGCAACUUACCACUUUCCACAAUUCUUUAUGCAAUUAAUAUUUUUUUAUGUGAGCUACAACAGUGAUCCAUUCUAGUGUAUCAAAACUAUCCCAACUCAAAUAUUUCAAGUUUAAUUAAAAAACACAUACAUGAAAUCAUUUAUAUAUUUCAAUAAAUGAUUAAAGUAUAUUGCAUUUAAUUAAUGAAUAUUGAGUUGUGAACGGCAUGAUACACUAUAAGGGAUCACAGUUGCAAAACACAUGAAUGAACCAAAGAAAAGAGAAGAAACAAUACUAUUAUUGUUGGAUGAAGAAUAGAAGAAUGGUGUGUGAUGAGUUUGUGUGUGGAUUUGGGUGGUUAUAUAUAAUAG